rnacentral:rRNA from 1 species
ACGGAAGGCAGCAGUGGGGAAUAUUGCACAAUGGGCGAAAGCCUGAUGCAGCGACGCCGCGUGAGUGAAGAAGUAUCUCGGUAUGUAAAGCUCUAUCAGCAGGGAAGAAAAUGACGGUACCUGACUAAGAAGCCCCGGCUAACUACGUGCCAGCAGCCGCGGUAGUACGUAGGGGGCAAGCGUUAUCCGGAUUUACUGGGUGUAAAGGGAGCGUAGACGGUUUGGCAAGUCUGAAGUGAAAUGCGGGGGCUCAACUCCUGAACUGCUUUGGAAACUGUCGAACUAGAGUGCAGGAGAGGUAAGUGGAAUUCCUAGUGUAGCGGUGAAAUGCGUAGAUAUUAGGAGGAACACCAGUGGCGAAGGCGGCUUACUGGACUGUAACUGACGUUGAGGCUCGAAAGCGUGGGGAGCAAACAGGAUUAGAUACCCUGGUA